ACUUGGGUGGCUUAGUCGGUUAAGCGUCUGACUUUGGCUCAGGUCAUGAUCUCACAGUUUGUGGGUUCAAACCCCGCGUCGGGCU
rnacentral:tRNA from 1 species